UACGUAGGGUGCAAGCGUUGUCCGGAAUUAUUGGGCGUAAAGAGCUCGUAGGCGGUUUGUCGCGUCUGCUGUGAAAUCCCGAGGCUCAACCUCGGGCUUGCAGUGGGUACGGGCAGGCUAGAGUGCGGUAGGGGAGAAUGGAACUCCUGGUGUAGCGGUGGAAUGCGCAGAUAUCAGGAGGAACACCAAUAGCGAAGGCAGCUCGCUGGGACGUUACUGACACUGAGGCGCGAAAGCGUGGGGAGCGAACAGG
rnacentral:rRNA from 1 species